rnacentral:rRNA from 1 species
AGCUGCGGCAGCGACACUAUGUGUUGUUGGGUAGGGGAGCGUUCUGUAAGCCUGCGAAGGUGGCCUGUGAGGGUUGCUGGAGGUAUCAGAAGUGCGAAUGCUGACAUAAGUAACGAUAAAGCGGGUGAAAAGCCCGCUCGCCGGAAGACCAAGGGUUCCUGUCCAACGUUAAUCGGGGCAGGGUGAGUCGACCCCUAAGGCGAGGCCGAAAGGCGUAGUCGAUGGGAAACGGGUUAAUAUUCCCGUACUUGGUGUUACUGCGAAGGGGGGACGGAGAAGGCUAUGUUGGCCGGGCGACGGUUGUCCCGGUUUAAGCGUGUAGGUGUGUGUUCCAGGUAAAUCCGGUUCACUUUAACACUGAGGCGUGAUGACGAGGCACUACGGUGCUGAAGCAACAAAUGCCCUGCUUCCAGGAAAAGCCUCUAAGCAUCAGGUAACAUCAAAUCGUACCCCAAACCGACACAGGUGGUCAGGUAGAGAAUACCAAGGCGCUUGAGAGAACUCGGGUGAAGGAACUAGGCAAAAUGGUGCCGUAACUUCGGGAGAAGGCACGCUGACACGUAGGUGAAGUGAUUUACUCAUGGAGCUGAAGUCAGUCGAAGAUACCAGCUGGCUGCAACUGUUUAUUAAAAACACAGCACUGUGCAAACACGAAAGUGGACGUAUACGGUGUGACGCCUGCCCGGUGCCGGAAGGUUAAUUGAUGGGGUCAGCGCAAGCGAAGCUCCUGAUCGAAGCCCCGGUAAACGGCGGCCGUAACUAUAACGGUCCUAAGGUAGCGAAAUUCCUUGUCGGGUAAGUUCCGACCUGCACGAAUGGCGUAAUGAUGGCCAGGCUGUCUCCACCCGAGACUCAGUGAAAUUGAACUCGCUGUGAAGAUGCAGUGUACCCGCGGCAAGACGGAAAGACCCCGUGAACCUUUACUAUAGCUUGACACUGAACAUUGAGCCUUGAUGUGUAGGAUAGGUGGGAGGCUUUGAAGUGUGGACGCCAGUCUGCAUGGAGCCGGCCUUGAAAUACCACCCUUUAAUGUUUGAUGUUCUAACGUGGACCCGUGAUCCGGGUUGCGGACAGUGUCUGGUGGGUAGUUUGACUGGGGCGGUCUCCUCCUAAAGAGUAACGGAGGAGCACGAAGGUUGGCUAAUCCUGGUCGGACAUCAGGAGGUUAGUGCAAUGGCAUAAGCCAGCUUGACUGCGAGCGUGACGGCGCGAGCAGGUGCGAAAGCAGGUCAUAGUGAUCCGGUGGUUCUGAAUGGAAGGGCCAUCGCUCAACGGAUAAAAGGUACUCCGGGGAUAACAGGCUGAUACCGCCCAAGAGUUCAUAUCGACGGCGGUGUUUGGCACCUCGAUGUCGGCUCAUCACAUCCUGGGGCUGAAGUAGGUCCCAAGGGUAUGGCUGUUCGCCAUUUAAAGUGGUACGCGAGCUGGGUUUAGAACGUCGUGAGACAGUUCGGUCCCUAUCUGCCGUGGGCGCUGGAGAACUGAGGGGGGCUGCUCCUAGUACGAGAGGACCGGAGUGGACGCAUCACUGGUGUUCGGGUUGUCAUGCCAAUGGCACUGCCCGGUAGCUAAAUGCGGAAGAGAUAAGUGCUGAAAGCAUCUAAGCACGAAACUUGCCCCGAGAUGAGUUCUCCCUGAGACUUAGAGUCUCCUGAAGGAACGUUGAAGACGACGACGUUGAUAGGCCGGGUGUGUAAGCGCAGCGAUGCGUUGAGCUAACCGGUACUAAUGAACCGUGAGGCUUAACCUU